UACGGGGGGGGUAAGCGUUGUUCGGAAUUACUGGGCGUAAAGGGCUCGUAGGCGGCCAACUAAGUCAGACGUGAAAUCCCUCAGCUUAACUGGGGAACUGCGUCUGAUACUGGAUGGCUUGGAUUCGGGAGAGGAAUGCGGAAUUCCAGGUGUAGCGGUGAAAUGCGUAGAUAUCUGGAGGAACACCGGUGGCGAAAGCGCUCUGCUGGACUGCAACUGACACUCAGGGACGAAAGCUAGGGGAGCGAAUGGG
rnacentral:rRNA from 1 species